UUGGUACUCCCUCCGUCCAGAAAUACUUGUCCUCGAAAUGGUUGUAUCUAGACUUAUUUUAGUUAUAGAUACAUCCAUUUUAUCCAUUUCGAGGACAAGUAUUUCCGGACGGAGGGAGUACCCA
rnacentral:pre_miRNA from 1 species